rnacentral:rRNA from 1 species
UUUUAAUUGAAAACUAGAAUGAAUGGUUGAACGAGGUAAAUACUGUUUCAUAAAAAUGAAUUGAAUUUUUAAAUUAAGUAAAAAGACUUAAAUAUAUUUAAGGGACGAGAAGACCCUAUAGAGUUUAAUAGUUUUAUUUUAAACUAAGUUAAUAAAAAAUUUUUGGUUAAGAAGAUAUUUAUUUGAUUGGGGAGAUAAAAGAAUAAUAAAAACUUUUUUUUUAGGUAAAUUAUAUGAAAAGAUGAUUGAUCUGUAAUUAAUGAUAGGAAGAUUAAAUUACCUUAGGGAUAACAGCAUAAUUUUUUUUAAAAGUUCAUAUUGAAAGGAGAGAUUAUGACCUCGAUGUUG